GAUAGUGCAGGUGAGCCCCUAUACAAGCUCUUCAAGGCCAUCAAACACCAGGUGGAAAAGGGGCCCGUGGAUGCUGUGCAGAAGAAGGCCAAGUACACCCUCAAUGACACAGGGCUGCUUGGGGAUGAUGUUGAAUAUGCACCUCUGGUAAGUCCCCCAGAGCUGGAAGCUGUGGAGGGGAAGGCGAAGCCAGGAACUUGGACUCCACAUCUGAACUCUGCACAGUGAAGCCAAGUUGUCCUGGGUAGGGUUUCUGUGAUCCAGAGGUAUGGUCACGAGGAUCCUCCCUCAGCUGGUCCUUCCCAUCCUGUGUUCCCUGGCAGACGGUGAGCGUGAUCGUUCAGGAUGAAGGGAUUGAUGCCAUUCCAGUUAAGGUCCUCAACUGCGACACCAUCUCUCAGGUCAAAGAGAAGAUCAUUGACCAGGUGUACCGUACUCAGCCCUGCUCCUGUUGGCCCAAGCCUGACAGUGUGGUGCUUGAAUGGCGUCCUGGGUCCACGGCCCAGAUUCUGUCUGACUUGGACCUUACCUCCCAGCGGGAA
rnacentral:lncRNA from 1 species